GGGACAGUGGCACAGCGGAUAACGCGCCUGACUACGGAUCAGGAGAUUCCCCUUGUUCGAAUCCUGGCUGCCUCG
rnacentral:tRNA from 1 species